rnacentral:rRNA from 1 species
CGGGUGGCUGCAGCAAGGAAUAUUGUGCAAUGGGCGAAAGCCUGACACAGCGACACCGCGUGGGGGAUGAAGGCCCUCGGGUUGUAAACCCCUUUUCUCAGGGAAGAAUAAUGACGGUACCUGAGGAAUAAGUCUCGGCUAACUACGUGCCAGCAGCCGCGGUAAUACGUAGGAGGCAAGCGUUAUCCGGAUUUAUUGGGCGUAAAGCGCGUGUAGGUGGCUCUUCAAGUCGGAUGAAAAAUCUCCCGGCUCAACUGGGAGGGACCAUUCGAUACUGCUGGGCUAGAGUGCAGCAGAGGGAGGUGGAAUUCCCGGUGUAGUGGUGAAAUGCGUAGAUAUCGGGGGGAACACCAGUGGCGAAGGCGACCUCCUGGGCUGUAACUGACACUGAGACGCGAAAGCGUGGGGAGCGAACAGGAUUAGAUACCCUGGUAGUC